AAAUGAGAGAGAGAGAGAGAGAGAGAGAGAGAGAGAGAGUGAGAGAGAGAAGUCCAACUUUUAUGCUGGAAAAAGCUUUGGAGAAAUGGGUUUAUGAGAUCUAAAUGAAGAUAAAAGAGAGAACUCAAGGAAUUAAAAAGAAAU